CCCCCCCCUGCCAUUACUGAUAGUAAGCAAGUGAUUGAUAAAGAUGUAGAGAGAUUUGGAGGCUUUUUGAGGGUAGAGAGAGAAAACUAGCCCAUUGCAUCAAAACUUUCAUAAACCUCAUCAUAAGUAGUGAAGAAGUCUUGUCCUUCAGUUGAAAGUAAUUCACUCAUUUUAGCAUCAUAUUGCUUAGCAUAAAACUGUGAUCCUUC
rnacentral:misc_RNA from 1 species